rnacentral:rRNA from 1 species
UACAGGGGGCCCGAGCGUUAAUCGGAAUCACUGGGCUUAAAGGGUGCGUAGGCGGAUCAGGAAGUGUUUCGUGAAAACCCCCGGCUCAACCGGGGAACUGCGGGGCAAACUCCUGAUCUUGAGGGAAGUAUGGGCGGACAGAACUAUCGGUGGAGCGGUGAAUGCGUAGAUAUCGAUAGGAAUGCCGAUGGCGAAGGCGGUCCGCUGGGCUUCUCCUGACGCUCAGGCACGAAGCGUGGGAGCAAACAGG